rnacentral:rRNA from 1 species
GGUCCCUCGUAUGGUUUUUGUGGGAUUUGGCCUGCCCAAUGAUGUAUUGUUGAAUGGCCGCGGUAUUUUGACCGUGCAAAGGUAGCAUAAUCAUUAGUCUUUUAAUUGGGGUCUGGUAUGAAAGGUCGGACGAAGAAGGAGCUGUCUUAGGUUUAUGUGUGCUGAAUUUUACUUCUAAGUGAAAAGGCUUAGUUUUUUUUGGGGGACGAUAAGACCCUAUAGAUCUUUACCUUUAUCUGUUGGAGUUGCGCGGUGUAAUGUAAUGGAUAUAGGUUUUGCUGGGGCGGCAGGGAGAUACGGUUAACUCUUUUAUUAAAGCUUUAUUUAUAGAUAUUGUAAUGAUCCAUCAGGGUUGAUGAUUAGUGGAUUAAGUUACCUUAGGGAUAACAGCGUAAUUUCUUUGGAGAGUUCAUAUCGAUAAAGGAGGUUGCGACCUCGAUGUUGGAUUAAGGUUUCUUGGUGGUGGAGAGGCUACUGGGGAAGGUCUGUUCGACCUUUAAAUCCUUACA